UCCGGUUUUCGACUGGAAAGUCUGGUUGAAAGGGGACCUGUGCAGCAUCCGGUCAGUACUGCUGACCAGACACUAAAAGUCCGGUUACCACAGUAACUGCAUCGGACUCUGCCGCCGGGAGGGUGGGAAGAGCAGCUGCUGCUGCUGGAUAAGGAGGGAUCCUGCCAGUGCAUGGCGUUUGAGGAGUGGAGCCAGCAGCUGGGCUCACCACCAUAACAGCCCAUCCUGCCUUCUCAGCCUCUCAGGGCCCCAGCUCUCUGCAGCCCCAUGCUCCAGGGACCGAUUCCCCCCUCUGCCCUGCCAUGCCCCAGCUGGGCAGACAGGCUCUGCAUCAGCACCUCCCAGCCCAGCUCAGCAGGCAGCACCCCUUUCAUAGGAGGAUGCAGCAAAUUCAUGAUGAAAGAAGCUACUUGGGAUUUAGCCAUUGGAUUUAGAUGCUUCCUCUUGGUCUCGCCUAUAGGAGCACAACUACCACUGAAAAUUAGGCCACUUAUUUAAGUACCUAACUCUGGAAGAGUUUUGCCUCAGGCCAUAAAUGCCAGUUGCUCAUUAAUUCCCCAGAAAUGCCA